GGCCGGAUGACGGAAUGGCAGACGUAUGGGAUUUAAAAUCCCUUGUCCGCAAGGACGUGCGGGUUCGAGUCCCGCUCCGGCCACCA
rnacentral:tRNA from 1 species